UCUUACGGCCAUACCAGCCCAAGAAAACGCCCGGUCUCGUCUGAUUUCGGAAGCUAAGAAGGCUUGGGCCUGGUUAGUACUUGGAUGGGAGACCCUCAUGGGAAUACCAGGUGCUGUAAGCU
ensembl:rRNA 5S_rRNA 5S ribosomal RNA